rnacentral:rRNA from 1 species
AGGACGAACGCUGGCGGCGCGCUUCAAGCAUGCAAGUCGAACGAGAUACCCGGGCUUGCCCGGGUGGAGAGUGGCGAACGGGUGAGUAACACGUGAGGAACCUGCCCCGAAGACCGGGAUAACGCCGGGAAACUGGUGCUAAUACCGGAUGCCCUCGCCGGAUCGCAUGGUCUGGCGAAGAAAUGGAUUCCGCUUCGGGAUGGCCUCGCGGCCUAUCAGCUAGUUGGUGGGUAACGGCCCACCAAGGCAGCGACGGGUAGCUGGUCUGAGAGGAUGUCCAGCCACACUGGGACUGAGACACGGCCCAGACUCCUACGGGAGGCAGCAGCUAGGAAUCUUGCGCAAUGGACGAAAGUCUGACGCAGCGACGCCGCGUGCGGGAUGAAGGCCUUAGGGUCGUAAACCGCUUUCAGCAGGGACGAAUUGACGGUACCUGCAGAAGAAGCCCCGGCCAACUACGCGCCAGCAGCCGCGGU